AGAUCACCACGGUGAUUUGCAAGCAACUCACUAUGCUUUGGUGUCAGACUACCUAAAUUUUUAGUUCAUGAUCGAAAGAUUUCUGGACACAGUCAAGUACUUGUGAAGUCAGUGCAUGAGUCUAGAUAGAAUUAACCACUCCAAGAGAUUGGAGAGAAUGCUUUGUGUUUUAAUUGAGUAAGAACUUGGCUAGGGCAAUCUUUGUGAGGAGUCACAAGAUUUAUCAGGUUGAGACACAUAAUAGAUGUACUGUUA
rnacentral:lncRNA from 1 species